rnacentral:tRNA from 1 species
GCCAGGGUAGCUCAACGGCAGAGCACCGCUUUCGUAAAGCGGCGGUUGUGGGUUCAAAUCCCAUCCCUGGCU